UACGUAGGGGGCAAGCGUUGUCCGGAAUUAUUGGGCGUAAAGAGCGUGUAGGCGGUCCGGUAAGUCAGCUGUGAAAGUCAAGGGCUCAACCCUUGAAAGCCGGUUGAUACUGUCGGGCUAGAGUCCGGAAGAGGCGAGUGGAAUUCCCGGUGUAGCGGUGAAAUGCGCAGAUAUCGGGAGGAACACCAAUGGCGAAAGCGGCUCACUGGACCACAACUGACGCUGAGGCGCGAAAGCUAGGGGAGCAAACAGG
rnacentral:rRNA from 1 species